rnacentral:rRNA from 1 species
CAGUAGCCGCGGUAAAACGUAGGGUGCAAGCGUCAAUCGGAAUUACUGGGCGUAAAGCGUGCGCAGGCGGUUAUAUAAGUCAGAUGUGAAAUCCCCGGGCUCAACCUGGGAACUGCAUUUGAGACUGUAUGGCUAGAGUGUGUCAGAGGGGGGUAGAAUUCCACGUGUAGCAGUGAAAUGCGUAGAUAUGUGGAGGAAUACCGAUGGCGAAGGCAGCCCCCUGGGAUAACACUGACGCUCAUGCACGAAAGCGUGGGGAGCAAACAGGAUUAGAUACCCGAGUAGUCCCUGUCUCUUAUAU